rnacentral:rRNA from 1 species
CUACGGGGCGCUCCAGUGAGGAAUAUUGCACAAUGGGGGGAACCCUGAUGCGGCAACGCCGCGUGGAGGAUGACGCAUUUCGGUGUGUAAACUCCUUUUAUAUGUCAAGAAAAUGACGGUAGCAUAUGAAUAAGCACCGGCUAACUCCGUGCCAGCAGCCGCGGUAAUACGGAGGGAGCAAGCGUUACUCGGAAUCACUGGGCGUAAAGGACGCGUAGGCGGGUUGGAAAGUCAGGUGUGAAAUCCUACAGCUUAACUGUAGAACUGCACUUGAAACUUCUAAUCUAGAGUAUGGGAGGGGAGAUGGAAUUAGUGGUGUAGGGGUAAAAUCCGUAGAUAUCACUAGGAAUACCUAAAGCGAAGGCGAUCUCCUGGAACAUUACUGACGCUAAGGCGUGAAAGCGUGGGGAGCAAACAGGAUUAGAUACCCUAGUAGUC